rnacentral:rRNA from 1 species
CAGUCGCCGCGGUAAUACGAAGGGUGCAAGCGUUAAUCGGAAUUACUGGGCGUAAAGCGUGCGUAGGCGGUUUGUUAAGUCUGUUGUGAAAUCCCCGGGCUCAACCUGGGAAUGGCAAUGGAUACUGGCAAGCUAGAGUGUGUCAGAGGAUGGUGGAAUUCCCGGUGUAGCGGUGAAAUGCGUAGAGAUCGGGAGGAACAUCAGUGGCGAAGGCGGCCAUCUGGGACAACACUGACGCUGAGGCACGAAAGCGUGGGGAGCAAACAGGAUUAGAUACCCCUGUAGUCCCUGUCUCUUAUCC